UACGAAGGGUGCAAGCGUUACUCGGAAUUACUGGGCGUAAAGCGUGCGUAGGUGGUUCGUUAAGUCUGCCGUGAAAGCCCCGGGCUCAACCUGGGAAUGGCGGUGGAUACUGGCGGACUAGAGUGCGGUAGAGGGUGGUGGAAUUCCCGGUGUAGCAGUGAAAUGCGUAGAGAUCGGGAGGAACACCGGUGGCGAAGGCGGGUCUCUGGGCCGAUACUGACGCUGAGGAGCGAAAGCGUGGGGAGCAAACAGG
rnacentral:rRNA from 1 species